rnacentral:lncRNA from 1 species
GGAGUGGCCGUCUCUCUCUCUCUCUCUCUCCUCUCUCUCUCUCUCUCUCUCUCUCUCUCCCUCUCCCUCUCCCUCUCUCUCUCUCUCUCUCUCUCUCCCUCUCCCUCUCUCUCUCUCUCUCUCGUGCUAAGGUUCUUUCUCUGGAGCGAGACAGACGCGGCUGUUAUUAUACCACCACCAGACUGCAGGAGGCUGCGGCAACACAGAUCGCGUGCUUUUUUUCCCUAAACGGAUAAACAGACAGAUAAAAUAAUAACAUAAUAACAACGGACGAGUAGCUGUUAUAAUCACCGUCCGCUCUCCAGCUCUCCAGCUCUCCAGCUCUCCAGCUCUCCAGCUCUCCAGCUCUCCAGCUCUCCUCCAAUACCAAAUAAACUACUGGGACCAAAGAAAGAACCAUUCUAUCUUUCCUGUUCUGUCUGUCUGUCUCUCCUUCCCUUCCUUUCUGUCUCUCUCUCCUUCCCUUCCUUUCUGUCUCUCUUCCCCUCUCUCCCCCCUCCUUUCCUUCUCUCUCUGGGAUGAGGGGCUGUGGCUGAGGCUGUGGGUGAGGGUCUGUGUCCAGUCUGAAGCUGGGGAAGCUAAAGGUGGUGCGGCGGCAGCUGCUGCAGAGGUAAACUACUAGUGUGUGUGUUGUCUUGUGUAGAAGAUUCCAUUCUAAAUGAUAGAUGAUACAGUACU